AUACUUAUUUGGACAUGGUCAAUGUAUAGUCAUUAAGGUUCAUGGCCUAGGUAAGCGAUCUCUAUUGUAUUUGGGAGGGGUGCUCGCCUAAGGUCUUCCCACUGUAGGAGAGCCUACGUUAUAAUUUGUGGUAAUGGGUGAGUUUGAGCUUGAAUCAAGCUCAAA